AGAGUAACAAAUAUUCUAUCUCAAAUUCGAACCCUUUCUGAGUAUGUCACCUUUGUUACGAAACUUUGACCCAAAUGUCAAUUUCGUCGACAUGGAUAUCAAAGAUUGUGCUGAAAAAAAGAAGCAGCUUUGAUGGAUAAUAUGAUAAUCUUCAAUCCACUGAGAAUUGGAUAGCUACUAUGGCAUGAUAUGUUGUCUCUUUCAGCACACAGUAGUUUUUGUUCGGAUCCUACCAUGCCAAGGCCCACAGGUAAUUGAAUUUCCCACUUCCUUUUUAUUUAACCCUAGCUAGUGGGAAAUUGUGCAUCUCAUAAUCGAAAAGGACAGUGUUAAUUAUAAACAAGUGUCCUUAAUAGAGAAAAAAUUGUGGAUGGGGCAAGUAAAAUUGAAUAAUUCUCAAUGUUAGAGGGAUUUUUUUGGAUGUGAUAUCUUGUUAUUUGGUUGUUCCUCCACCCAUUUUAGUGUUUUCAGCACCAAAUGGGGCUCUGCCCUGUUACACAGCAGUUUUAAGAAAAUCUUCAUCUGGCUGCUGCUGUUGUUGUAUGGCAUUAUUUGAUUUCACUAUUAUGUAUCUCUUCUUCUUAUGCUAUGUACUGGAGGAUGAUCUUGUUGUGUCAUUAUUACCUGGAAGAACAACUGUUUCAUGUGGUGUUUGAUAUAGUGGAAUUUAGUUUAAUGGAUGAUUUUACAAAUGGGAGAAAAUGACUUCCUUCACUCGUGAGCAAAAGUUUUUUUUUUUGUGUGGUGUAUGGACUAGCUUGUGCGCGCAUCUCGACUAAUUGCAAAUGGGGAAAAUGACUUCCUUCCCUCGUGGGGAAAAUGUUUUUUUAUUGGAUAACUGUGGUGUCUGAACCAGCUUGCGCACAUCUAUACUAAUUUCAUGAGAUAGAUGGAAAUUACGUGGUGGCUUUUUGGCUCUGCUUAGAUUUGAACCUAAAACUUCAGGGUUGUCAACCCAAUUCAUUGGUCACUAGGUCACACCAACCAGUGGGGUGUGUGGGAGAAACUAAUUUUACUUAGAACUAUCUUAACUUUUUAAAUCAUAUCAUUUGCUCCAUCUAACAUUUUAGAUAUUAUUAUCCAUCUUUAAUACUCAAAAUAUCAUCAAGGCAAUAAAUAUUAGUAAUCCCACUUCGGUUUGGACGAUCUUCACCGCUUGAUCUAGCUUUUGGGGUUGAGUUGGACUCAAUUUCCAUUUCUACUCAAUUCUUGUUUCGCCAGAUAUUGAUCUCCAUAUUAUCUUGUCCAAGCUCUAGUUGCCAGUCCUUGGCGUGCGGGGUGUUAGUAGUCCCACAUCGAUGUGUGGGAUGACAAUUUGUCUCCCUAUACUGGACAAUCCUCAUCUCUUGAGCUACAUUUUGGAAUUGAGUUAUAGCCAAUUUUCAUUUCUCAUCAAUAUCGGAUUUGCUAAUAUUAUUAUUCAUAUUUACUUCUUGGAGAAUAUUUUCUUAUGAAAAACAGUUUUCAUGAACUAUAGCUUUCAUUGUACCAAACAGACACAACACAUUAAUUAUCUUACCAUAUGCAAUUUCUGUUACUUCUUCCUCUUUUCCUUGUUCUUGGAUGUUAUAACUUAUAAGGUCUUUGGCAAGAAGAAACUCUAAAUGCUUUGUUAUUGGGGAAAAUUUUGUUCCACUAUAGCUCAAGAUAUUUUGUUUCAUUUGCAAGUGCUGGUUCAAACUUGACCUACCAUUCAACAAAAUAUAAUGUUAUCUUGAUUCUUCAAGAAUCUCACCAACCACGCACUUUGCAUGUGUAAGAUCACAAGAAUCCAUGUUUUGUUCUUGAUGCUCCCACAAAGAAGUUGGUUUAAGAUGUUCUAGAGGCGCUAAAUAGAUCCCAAGCAUUAAAAUGGAAGGUAGAAAUUGAUUCUGAAUCAGACUUUUGAUAUUGCUAUUAUAAAAGUAUAUCACCAUGAAAUCAUAAUACAAAGAAAAGGAAAGGCACUGAGAGGAGAAAAAGAACAAGCUCAUUUAGUGAUCUAAACAGGUGCUGUCUUUAUGUGGUCAAUGCACUUGUAGAACUCAUUAAAUUAUUGCAAUCUUCUUGUUUUAGAGACCCCACAGAGAUAUUCCUAAAUCUUGCUGUGUGCAUCAGUUAUUGCUUUCUCUUUUUCUUUUAGCUGUGAUAAAAAAAUGUUUCUGAUGUUUGCUUCAUUGUGCACUAAGCAUAUUUAUUCAGUUCAGAAUGUUACAGAUUUUAUUCUUCCCAAGCAUCUGAAGUUUCCUAAGUCAGUUAGGUAAAACAUUGCCAGAGUGGUACUACUACAUUGGAAUUUUUGGUGUAUAUGAUCAAAAUCUGGCAAUGUGAUCAUAAUCUAAAUCUAACAUUAUUACUAUAUGUUGUUGUUGGCGGAAAAAACCCUUCGAUUUUGCUCUUGAAAUGGUUCCCUCUGCACAUUUUCAUCGCACACGAUUGAGUGCUAGAUAAGCGAUUAGCCGGUAUCCCACUAACAUUAGAGCCAUGAUGAAUACAUCCAUCCACAUAUUGUUCAGGCCUAUUGAUUUUAUGGCUGGAAAUUCUGCAACCUGGCAAUAGACGCCUUUUGAACACUCGUAGUAGUCGUUAUCAUUGUAUUGUACCCCUAGAAGCAACUUGUAGCAGUAGUAGCUGUAGCUCAAAUAUUUUAACCAGACUAUGAAAGGGGGAAUUUGUUGAAUGUAAUAUCCUCCGGCAAUUAGGAAGACUAAAGUUGUGACUGAUGCUAAGGUAGUGGCCUGUUUCACAUCCAUGAGCAUGGCACCAUAUGCUAGACCGAGGCUCUGAGAAACGAGUACGCUGUAAAGGACUACUAGAAGAGAUAGGAUGAAUGUGGCAGGGUUGGCUUUGAGCCCACCCAUCCAAUAUAGGAUGAAGGUAAAUGCUGUUGGUAGUGCUAGUUCCAAGGGAAGAUCCCCAACAGUUUUAGCUAGAAAAUAUGAUGAGAGUCGGUACAUUCCUGAUGAUCGCUCUUUGAUGAGCAUCCUUCUUUCUUGGGGAAAAGUGAAAACUGCAUUGUAGAGUGGAUAGAAGCCCCAGAAUACCGCGAAGAAGAAUACCAUUGCAAUCUGCACGAGGAAGUCAAAUUAUAAAUAUCAUAUUAGCCAUUGAAUUUUCCUAUUCUAUGUUGAUGCGAAAUGUGAUAGGAUCAGAUUGUCAAUAUUAACGUAGCAAAACUUGGAAAUGGUUUUACAUUAGAAGAGAUUGUCAUGUUGCUGUAAAUACGAGCCUGCUCUGCUGUUAUUGGAGCUACCUAGUGUAAAUAUUGAAACUAGUUUUCUUCCUAACAUAUAAUAGUUCUUACUCUGUCUUCAAUGUGGGAUGUUGGAGUGUGCCACCAUAACAAUCCAGCAAGAAAUGCUACACUAACAACUUGGAAGAUUCUAAGCUUGUUGAAGGUUUCGUAUCUUCGUUCCUUCAGCCCCCUUAGUAGCAGCACCUUAAAUUGAUAGCCCCAACUCGUGCACCAGUGCUCUGACUUCACACCGUUUCCUGCAUGAGUAGAGCACGAUAGAACUGGAAUCAGUCACUAAUUCGAGGUAGAGAACAAUUUGAUAGUCAAUUAAAACAAUCCCUUUCUUCACAGUUAAUUGAAAACUUACUUGUUGAAACAUCCUUUGCGUAACUGUAGUUAUUGGUAUCUGAACUGCAUAGCUCAGUUUUCAGCCUUGUAGAAAUGUUCUUGUCAUAAGCAGAGAUGAGAGCUUCUCUUACAGAUUUCUUCUCCUGUUCACUACUGUCACCUUGCUCAAUUGCAUGCUUGGAAUCAGGUCCAAUUCCUGAAAUUUCGAAGAUCCUUUUUAAAGAGAUGUUUGACACCAUAAUCCAUAUACAUGAUUUUUAAAUGUCUCAAUGUUUGCACAUCUUUUGCCCCUCUAUCUACAGUAAUUGGUCAAAAAGGAAAAUUAAAGAAUUUAGAUUGAGAUUUACUGAUUAAAUAGUAGGACAACUUAUGAGUGGAUUCUCUUUUUUACUCUACUUACUUAAAGGUAUUGAAUAAUUACCAUUGCUUAUCAUCAAGCUUAGUGACUCAUCUUACUUUAGCAAAACCAAUAAUGAAAACUAUGGACCUCUAAAGUAAGUUGAUUUGCUAGGAAUGAUAUUUAUAUUAGAGUGUUUGAAUUACCAUUGGCAAGAUCAAGCAAGAGAUCAGCAGGAUUGAUAGUAAUUGAUGUGGAAAAACCAACAGAGGAGAAGUACUCGAGGGCGGUUGAUGCAGGACCAUAGUAGAUAGGGCAGCCUUCAGAAAGCAAGACCACCUUAUCAAACAUAUGGUAGAGCCUGCUGGAUGGUUGGUGGAUUGUAGUGAUCACAGUUCUGCCACCGUCAGCUAGGCGCUUAAUAGUAGUUAGAAUCCUCAGAGCUGUAGUAGAAUCCAAACCAGAAGUAGGCUCAUCUAGCAGUAGUAAACUCGGGUUAAUGAGCAUUUCUUGACCAAUACUGACCCUCUUUUUCUCCCCACCUGAUAUCCCUCUAAAUAAUGGUCCUCCUAUCAUGCUGUUUCGACACUUGUUUAACCCGAGCUCUGCUAUAACAUGCUCCACAUGCCUUUCUUUUUCCUCCCUGCUUAGGCUUUGGGGAAGCCUUAACAGAGCUGUGAAGAGGAGAGUUUCUGUUACAGUUAGAUGAGGAUAUAGGACAUCAUCCUGUGCCACGAAUCCAGUACGGCGUUUGAUAGCUCCUGAGAAUGGCUGGCUGUUGUAUGUAAUUUUCCCUGAUAGCUUACCCGAUAGGCGGCCUCCUAAAGCCGUUAGGAGGGUAGUUUUUCCACUACCUGAUGGACCUAACAUUGCUAGCAUCUCCCCUGGGCACACAAUACCUGUCACUCCAUUUAGUAUAGUCUUUUCUUUUGUGCUUGAUGGUCCUCCACAACACAUUCCUUUUGUUUCUUGCUUAAUCUUGUAAACAACUUCUUCAAACUGCAUAACAUAUUAAUCAAGAUAUCAACAUAUUGAUAAAGAAACAAAUUGAGUACUAUUAUGCAUGUAACUAACAAGUCUAGAGAGAAAUUAAGUUAGAAAAGAGACCUUCAAAGUUAUGGGAAACAAGGCCCUUUGUAUAAAGGACUCUGAGUUCUUCAUCUCUGGCUUCGACGAAUUAGGUGGAGGUGCCAUCAAUUCUGUGCCAAAGUUUUCUGGUUUUGGUGCUACACAAUGAAGAGGCAUUGGUGUUUUGUUUUAGCAGUGUGUUUUACUGAUGAAUACUGAAUAUGAAGAGAAGUUAAAGAGUUGCUUUUAACUUGAGUUUUCUCAAGAGAAGUGAACAACCAUAUAAAUAUAUAAACUGAGAAAGACACAGAAGAAAAAAGACCAGUAUCUAUUGUGUGUGUUAAAGUCUCCAUGAUGUAGGUCUAUCUCUCCCUUUAUUUUUUCCUUUGUGGUUCCCACCCUUUUUCUCUUAAAGUAAUGUAACACUUUCACUUAAUCAAAUUAUUUAAACCAUUCUUUCAUUUUGAUCCUCUCUUCUCUCUUUUUCAGAACGGGCAAUAUUUGGCUUUAGAUUACUAAUUUUAUACGUCUCAGACGUGUUACCAAAAAAAACAUUUUUUUCUAAGAUGUGGCCUUUGUCUAUGCCACACUAGUAGAUCUAUUUAGAAAAUAGCCAAAUUAAGGGUACUUCAUAGAUCAUCCAACAUUAAGAAGUGGGUAAUGAGAAACAUGCCACUGAACAGAUCAUUUUUUCACUUGCCUUGCAACUCUGUUUGAAAAGAAUCUUAGAUUUAGACAUUUAAUUAUCUUUGAAAUGAUUUUUUUUAAAGCAAGUUGCAAUAAAAGAAAAUGAAAGUCUAAUGUGGCAAUACCCUAUGAAUUAUGGAUUUUGUAGGCUAAUUUUGUCGGAUUUGUGCUCCCCCCCCCGCCUUUUUUUGCUUUCUCCUUUUUUGUUAUUUAAGCAUAGUCAUGUACGGAUGAUUUAUACACACUGAUAUUAUAAUGAUUUUCACCAUUCAAUAGAAAACAGGAAUUAGAUAGGAUACUAGGCGGUAAAUAGUUCAUAGCUAACAUAUUUUUUUGAUAAUUCAUCGUCAAAUCGGAUUAGCGAUAGUUUUUUAGUGUUUGUUAUAUUUUAGCUUGCUUGGACGAUCAUAGGUGAGGUGUCUUAUGAACGGUCACGUAUAAUUAUUUGAUAAUGUAAAAAAUAUAUUACAUUAACAGAUUAACAGCGUAUAGAAGUAGAACUCUUGUCCUAUUCAUUUGAAUUCCUUUAACUUAGAAUUUUCUUUUUAUGUACUUCUUUAUAAAACUGAUAGUGCUUCCCACCUUUAAUUCAAUAAAGCUCUAUUAUUUUUGGACUUUUUUUAAAGUUUUCUGCAAAUGGGUUCUUACAUUAUCUGCAUGUCAACUCUUGUGCAUGCUGCACCUUUUUUUUUCUUGGCUUUUAAUAACUAUACUAUAUAUUUGUUUUUCUAUCUUAUGCACUGCUUUCUUUUUCUCUUUAUGUCAUGCGUCUUAACCACCAAGGAUUAUAAUGGGACGGAUACAGUCUCUUUAUUCUUAAUCAGUAAUCUUAAUCUUAAUCAGUGAUCUUAGGUUCGAGUUUGUGGUCAAUGAAAUGGUUGAGAAUCCUGACGUCUCAGGUUCAAAAUUUAGUGGAGACAAAAAAACAUUUCUUCCUAUCUGAUCUUGCCUCGAUGGAUAGAGUUACGUGAUACCAGUUGUUGGUGGGAGGUGACAGGUAUUCCGUGGAGUUAGUUGGGAUGCGCAAAAUUUGGUCUGGACACCACGGUCAUCAAAAAAAUAAGAUAUGCCUUACACAACACUAAUUCAAAUUUGUCGGGUCUAUUAAGUGGGAAACCAAAAAUGUUACGCGUCUUAGGUUCUAUUGUUUGGAAACAACCUUUCUACCUACACGCCUACAUGAGAUAGUGAUAGAAUCUGCGUAUACUAAGUUUGAUUAAUACUCAAUGACAUUUGAUUAGUGAUUUGGUGCUCUUCAAGUGAUGGAAUAUACAACGUAAGGUCACAGAUUAGUAAGAAAAGCAAAAAGAUGCCAACUUUACUGUUUUCAUAUGUUCAAAAAAUUCUCACAAAAUAAUUAAAAGAAAACCAAUUUCUUUUUCUAUAAUAAAAGAAAAAGAAAACCUUAUUUGGUGAUUUUGUCAGUGGGGAUUGAUGCAAAGCUGCAUUUGCAGGAAAUAUUCCGAAAAUAUAUAGAGUAACAUGACUAAGCUGGGAGUUGAGUCAGUUGAGUGGUGCCCUAUUUAUGUACACCGCCGUACAUUAUUAUAUGUGAUGAACAUAAUAUAAAUUUAGAGCGCGGGGAUCUUAAUAGUUCAGUUGGUUGACUACUGGAACUUUCAUUUUGUUACUAUGAGUUCAGUUCCCCUCCUCCAUUUUCCCUUCCCUUACCCCGAUGUAAUAAACUUCUUUUUUGAAGUUUCAAUUGAUUGACUAUUUAAACUUUCAUUUUGUUGGUGUGGGUUCAGUUCCCCAUCUCCAUUUUCCCUUUCCCUACACCGAUGUAAUAAACUUCUUUUUUCGAGCAACAACUAAAUUCAAACUCUUUUUUUCCGACCUAUUUGACUCUUUAGUCAUAGUUAUGUAGGUGAUAUUAUGAGAUCAAGUUGCAACAAUAGCUGAAUAUGCAACAACAAUCCAAGGUCGCAUAUCCAGACGCGAACUAAGCUCCCACUCACGACCCAUGUAACAGGCUAUGGCAAGUAAGGAGUAUAAAACAAUUAGUUCAUUAGGAU
rnacentral:lncRNA from 1 species